rnacentral:misc_RNA from 1 species
ACACACACACACACUCAUAUAUAUUUACUCAUUUUGAUCAAUUUCCCAUCAAAAUGAUAUCUGAAAAAUUUAAAAUGUUCGCUGUUAGAAAGUUUUGCAAUCUGUUCUUUUUUUUAUGUCAACAGAACAUCAGCAUCUCGUUUGUGAACCUCAACAUGUAGAACUCCUAUUGAAUCCAAAAAUCGUAACUCUUUCCUCUUUAAUUCUGAUGCUAUCGGAUUGGAUGUAGGCAACGUAGAAGAUCUUUAGAUAAUGGCAGAUGGAUUUUUUUGGGAAUCAUAAGUUAUUGAAUGCAUGCUAGCACCUCCACAUUUUUGUUGCCCACGUUGAUUAUAAUUUAUUGCAUCUAAUUUGUGAUCAUGUCAGUCCAUGACUGGCCUGAUGCACGUGCAAACAGACAACCCUCCUUAUGUGUGUAUUGUGAAUCUUCUUAUAUGCAAAUGACAAGUAUCACCUAAAGUUAUAUUGUACAAUAGUGUUAAUUCAUUUUUAAUUUUUCUUUAUAUUUUAAUGUCAUUAUGGUGAUAGAGAGUUCUCUGGAAGUGAGUUUUCCUUGAUGUUAACAUGUGCGGUGCGCUGUAUAUUUAAGUUAUCAAGCUUUUAUGCAGUUUAUCAGCGACUUAAAUGAUUUUAAUCUGCUAGCUUUUAUGUUGGUUCAUUGGGCAGUUGUGGAUAUUAGUCCAUGGUCAGAGUUAUUUAUUGUUGUUUAAUUUAUGCUAUGAUAAUUGGUUUGGAAAUUGGAAAUACAGAGUUGAAGCUGUCUCUAAGGGAGUUGGUGUCAUUUACUACCCUGUUGGUAUAGGGGGUCUGUAUAUAUAUAUAUAUUUUUUUGGAUGUGCAGGAUGCUGCAGAUUUUAUAGAUUCCUAAGUUUUGCAUGAAGUUGCGGACAUAAUAGAUUUUUCAUCAUGUACAUGAGCCUGUCUUUGUAAAUAAAUUCAGGACCCCUUGGUAACAUUUUAAUAGAAAGUCACUUUGUUAUUGAAACAAUGGGGGGGGCAGGGAUAGUUGCACUCUACAGUGUGUGUAGAACUGUGAUUUUUUCUGAAUGAUUGUGCUCUCUGAAUAUGGAGUAUGUGAUUUCUGCACUUCUUAUAUGACCUAUGCUUCCUGCUGGAUGUAUUUUAAAUGUUGCAAACGGUACUGAAGUGUUGUUGGCAGAGAUGCUAGUUAGAUAGAUUUGAAAUUGCAAUGAAACAUUUAACAAAAAAAUAUAUGAAUCUUGUUAAAGUUGUAAUUCUUAUCCUUCAGUUAAUCACUGAAAGAACACUGAUUGAGUGAUUUUAUUUGGUGAAUUGUGACUUGUUUUUCUGUUUUGUUUUAGCUCUUUCAUUUUUUUUUUCCUUCCCUUUUGGCAGGCUAUAAUGUCAUUUCUCAAAUUAAGAUAAUGUCUUCAAAGGGUUGGGUGUUUUAUUUGGAUGAGUUAUUCUGAGACAAGUUUAGCACACUUAAUUAUUGAUAACAGGAUUUAGAAACCCUGUUGAUAUACAGGUUCUUGUGGCAGUUAUGAGCUGGUGUAGUCACUUCAAAAUGCUUUUUAGAAAUGUUGAAAUAUUUGACCAAUGAGCUUUUCCUUAGUGAUACUCGAGUCAUCUCCAGGCCUAUGAAGUGUCGAGUUCGAAGCCCGAUGAACCACAAAAAAGAAAUGUUGAAAUAUCCUACUAAGAAAUUAACCUUUUUUUUCCUCUCUUUUCUUUUUCUUAAAAUAAAAGUUUGAGAACCCUAACUAUUUUUGGAUUAAGGUUUAGCUAAGCUGAGUUUUUUAAUUUAGAAUGAAAAGGAACUGGAUUUAACUACCCCUGGCAAGUGGUUGUAAUGGUCUUAUGUAUCAGAGAUUCUCUUAUUGCAUUAGGCUGUACUAAUAGAAGUAAUUUGUGGUCUACUGUGACAGUGAAUAGAGGCUUCCACUCAACAGGAGCAAAGAGGAUGGGAGGAGGUCAUGCACAUGGCCAUGAUGAACCAUUCUACCUUCAUGCAAAGCACAUGUACAACUUGGACAGGAUGAAAAAUCAGAAAAUUAAAAUGCCUCUUGCUGUCUUUACUGCCUUCAGCAUUGGUGUCAUCGUUCCUAUAUAUGCUGUCAUUUUCCAGCAGAAAAAGACUGCUUCUGCGUGAGUCAUGAUGCGUUGGUGCAGUAACUGGAACAAGUUUGAAAUGCAUUUCUUGGGGACUGUUGGCAUUCCUAAGUUGGGUUCAUUUUGGUUCUUUUUGCUGUUAGUUUUCAAUGUUUAAUGUUGGCAAAUAGGAUUUGAAGACUUGUUUUUUCAUAAUAAUAUCAUACAGUAACAAAUCGAUUCUGAAUGAAUCGUGGGUUCAAAUACUUUGCUUCCUUUAAUGUGCUUAACAUGGUGCUUUGGAAUCAAAUCUUUUAUUUUUGCUGAGAUUAGUAGGUCUAUGGUCACAUCACAUGCAAUGUGGAGUUGUUUUUGUUAUUGUUAAAGUUACUUUUUGGUUUAGUUCUAUCAUGGGUCCAUGGUUAAUG